GCCACGGCCAUACCAGCUGGGUACGCCCGAUCUCGCCUGAUCUCGGAAGCCAAGCAGGGCCGGGCCUGGUUAGGUACUUUGAUGGGAGACCGCCUGGGAAUACCAGGUGCCGUAAGCA
rnacentral:rRNA from 1 species